ACUGAACGAUGGCGGCAGGCCUAAUACAUGCAAGUCGAACGAGUGGCGGACGGGUGAGUCAUGCCUGGGAACCUGCCUGACGGAGGGGGAUCACGAGUGGAAACGGUAGCUCAUAACGCAUCCGAUCGUGUGUGCCAUGAUGGGAUUAGCUAGUGGGUGGGGUAAAGGCUCACCUAGGCGCCAAGGCCUAGCUGGGCUGAGAGGAUUACCAGCCACACUGGAACUGAGACACGGUCCAGACUCCAACGGGAGGCAGCAGUGGGGAAUAUUGGACAAUGGGCGCAAGCCUGUGUCAGCCAUGACGCUGGUAUGAAGAAGGCCUUCGGGUUGUAAAGUACUUUCAGCGGGGAGGCGUUACCCGCAGAAGAAGCACCGGCUAACUCCGGGCCAGCAGCCGCGGUAAUAC
rnacentral:rRNA from 1 species